rnacentral:rRNA from 1 species
UACGUAGGGGGCAAGCGUUGUCCGGAUUUAUUGGGCGUAAAGAGCGUGUAGGCGGUGUUCCCAGUCUGUUGUGAAAUCUCCCGGCUUAACUGGGAGGGUGCAGCGGAAACUAGAAUGCUAGAGGGUGGGAGAGGUAAGCGGAAUUCCUGGUGUAGCGGUGAAAUGCGUAGAUAUCAGGAGGAACACCUGUGGUGUAGACAGCUUACUGGACCACUUCUGACGCUGAGACACGAAAGCGUGGGUAGCAAACAGG